UUUUUAUUGCUCCAUCCAACUGCGACCACUUCUUUAAUUACUUCAUUACAUAAAUAUCCCAUUAUAAUUAUUGUUAUUGUAAUUUUGACGUAAUGCGUUAAAUUUAAAUGCCAAGAAUGGCAGAAAUUUAUCCGUCGAACGGAUUUCGUUUAAAACGUGCGAGCCGGUAAAAUCAAUGUGCCCAAGUGUGCUGUGGCGGUCGUCUUUCUUUCUCUACUCCACACUGGUGCCAAUCGCUCUCUGUCUCCGUUUAAAUGUACGAUGUAUGCAUAUGAGCUGGGCGCCGCGGAUUACUUAUUCAUCCCUGAUAUUUAAUGUGUCCUUCAAUAUAUCACACGAGAUAAACUGCUCAGGGCAAUGUAAUGCAAUGCAAUUAAAAUAAAAUUCAACAAUGCUACAUAUAUAUGAGUGUAUAAAUAUACAUACAUAUAUACAAGAAAAUACUUGAAAAGCUGAGUCAUUGGCUGGUCUCGGACUCUACUCUACUCGGAGCAAGAGAUUUACAAACCAGGCAACUGGUAAAUGUAAAUUUUCAUAAUAAGUUUUUGAAAUUUGUUGGCAAAGGUCGAGGUACUGGUGCCUGGGGAUCGCGGUCCGUUUCUACGGCACUGAAUAAUACGUCUGCCGUCCGUCGUUGUCGUAGUGCUGUGCUCGUGGUUGCCUUGCUCGUAUCGUUGGAUACCGACGUCUCGUAGCAGAGGAAGGCGGGGGCCGGUGACAAGGGCGCCCGGUGGGAGAGCACCGAGUUCGCGGGCAUCGCGCUCGCCGGCUCACACUACACUACCGUCAUAACUCACAGCAAUAAACGCUACGUCAGUGGAUAUAAAACAGAUUUGACCUCCAGGAGGUCAAAACCGCCGAGUCAUUGGAUUAUUUUAAUCAAAGAUGACGCCAAAGUAUGAGACCCAGAAACUGGUAAUUCAGCGGUGGUGUGACCAAGUCGUUUUACACUCCGCGGAUUUUAUUUGAAUGCAUAACGAGUCGCGGAGUUGCAUAUCGAGUAUUUAACUCACAACAAUGUAUAUAAUAUAAGUUUUACAGUUUAUAUAUAAAUAUAAUUAUGUAAUAUAUAAGCUGUUGUAAGAGUAAAUUAGAGAGUGUGGUAAAUAAAUACUCCGUGUAAAAUUUAAAACCCGUCUUAGUCUGGGCAUCGUGUGUGCUGCUACUAUACACACAAGUAAACCUCAAGUUAUAAACUAGACGACAAGAUUUGCUACAUUUUCUAUGCCUCUAUCAAACCGUACUGUACACCGAUGACUCUUUUGCUUAAGUCCGUCUAUAUAUAAAUCCGACAAGAGUUAAAAUACAUCACCGACUAACAAAACAAAUUGUGUAUAUUGUACAUACAUUUAUACAUAUAUACCAAUUGGGUGAAAUAUUUAAAGCGAGUCCUGUACUGUAUGGAUAUUGUUCGAACAUGUGGAAUGUGGGUCCAUUUAAGAUAAAAGAAUAACCUCGAUAUAAUGGUUGACACAUGGAAUGUCCACGAAAGGCGAAAACAACCGCUUUGGUAACGCAUAUUGGCGACUUCGGGUUUGCGUAACCGGGCAUCCAAGUGUAUAGAGAAAGAGAAAUACUAAAUGAGAGAGAUGUAAAGUGAGAGAAAGAGCAACGCGUCAGGUCCGAUCGAUCGUUGUGUUGCUGCUGGCACAACCAACUGAGGGAGACAGGGUUACAAGAGCCAGAAGAGGGUGAGAGAGAAUAUAAAGAGGUGCGAAGAGAAAAGAGAGGCACCAACACGUCAGGUUGACUGUAUGAUCUGUACUCUCUGGGUUGCUGCAGCAAAUAAUCAUCCAUUUUUUACCACCAUCAUAUCAUCAUACAUGAGGAUUUACCUCAAGACCAAGAUCCACUCGGUCCCUAAUACCAACAGUUCUGUAUAUCAUCGUCUCUAUGCCCAUCUGGUCUUUAAUUAUCCUGAUGAUAUGCACGUCGACUAGUAACUCAUUCGUAGUUUUUUCUCCUUUUUUUUAAUACUCAAUGCAAGAGCUGGCAUGCGCCCCAUGUCCCAUCAAAUCCAGCAGCCCAAUGCAGACUCUCUUUCCGUCUCUCCUCUCUCUCUCGGGCUCUCUUUCUCUCUCUUUACGUUAUUCUCUAUCCCUACACACUAUGCUAGUAUUCUCGAUCGAUCGUCCCGGCUUGCAAGAGAGCUUAUUCACUCCCUCUCCCUUUUAUAUUCCGUCUCUCUCACUUGGUAUCUCGAUAUCCGCGGAGCGUCGAAAUUAGCCGGCCACGAGUGUCGAGAUCCCCAGACCGUUGCAACGUUGCCAUGCAGGUCACUGUCGACUCCAACAUCAGUGAAAUAAUCCUCUUCAAUUAUUUUACAAAUUCUUCAGGCACAUAUAUAUGGACAUAUAUAUCAUUGUAGUUCAUAUUGCGUACUUGAGUUUUGAUAAUUUGUUCAUCAUUCGAUUAAUUCUUAUAAUUCUUCACAGUCUGAUAUCAUUUUUAUUUAUUGCUUUCUAAGAAUAGACCAAGUAUCUGACUAAAAACAUUG